rnacentral:rRNA from 1 species
GUAGUCUGCAACUCGACUACANGAAGCNGGAAUCGCUAGUAAUCGCGAAUCAGAAUGUCGCGGUGAAUACGUUCCCGGGUCUUGUACACACCGCCCGUCACACCAUGGGAGUCGGGAAUGCCCGAAGUCAGUGACCCAACCGGAAGGAGGGAGCUGCCGAAGGCAGGCUCGAUAACUGGGGUGAAGUCGUAACAAGGUAGC